UAAUCAGUUUCCAAAAAAUUGGUACAACUUGAAAAAGGUUGUGCUAUCAAUUAACAUUAAUGGAAUGUGAAAUACUUUUAUACGAGAUUGGUGAUAUAGAUGACAGAUCAUAGUGCAGUAAUAGGAAAAUAAAUUCAGCAGUGGGACAGUCAGAGCAGAUGGUUAGUGGGCCAGAAUAUACACAUAUUAAUACAAAUAGUGUACACUGCAAAUGUACCACAACAAAUCCCAACAUUUUAUUAUACGACAAAGUAACAAACAAUUUAAGACAUUGAUUAGAGUUUACAGAGGCAAUGAGGUUUUUUUAAUGGGAAUACGCAGGAACAGAUUUCAGAAAUUAAACUAUUUUUAGCUUCCUCUCUCCCUCUGUUUUUGACCCCACACAGCCAUCUUUUGCUAUCACAAAUUUAACCAAAUGUUCCUUGAAUUAAAAUGAUUGCCUGUCAAUAACCAUUAAUAUUAAUGGUGCAUAUUGAGACAAGAGCACAUAUGAUUAUCGAAUUUAAAAAUGGUGCUGCAUUAAAUAAAAAUAAAAUAUUUAAACCUUCCAAGCGUAUAUCACCCCUCCGACAAAGACUUACUAUACUAAUGUACAAGGCUAAAAAGAACCUUAACACAUACAGUCCCCUCAAACAAAGGAUGCUGCAAUUGGUCCUUCAACAGAAACUGUGCUUGAACAUUCACAAUACAUUCUUCUUGUGUUUACCAUCCUUACAUGUCUCCCUACUCUUUUGUCUUAUACAUUUUCAAUACACUAUCCUACUUUUAUUUAAUUAACUUAUUGUAAUUAUAUAAUACUUGUUCAAAGGAUUUGCUCUAUGCUUGGGAAACUAGAAUAUCCUUGGCUAAUGUUUGUUAACUUUUUGGGUCCUCAUACCUAGUGAUGGCCAAACAAGGCUUAAUUUGCAUUGUUUUAGCUGCAGGAUAUUAUGCUGGCAGCACUCAGAUUUUCUUUAUCACAAUAGUUUGUUAGCAGUUUAUGAGAGAAAAGGAUAAUUGCCCAGGAGAUACAAUUAACUUAACCGGAACGUUAAGACAAAAUUCACAACACCUUAAUUUCUACCCAUACCACUCACUCUUUCACAUUUCUUUAGCACUCAUCCUCCUGGGUUUCAUAUUUGAUGAACCAAACCAUUUUUGCUGCUUUUAAAACAAAAGAUUAAGAGCGACACCCCAUUCCUUUUUGGAAAAUUAAACAUACACAAAACAGUAUAAAACCACUGCUCCUAAAGCAUUAAAGGGAUAUUUCAGAUUUUAGCAUGUAAGACCUCAUUUUACAAAUACUUUUAGUCCGGAGGCAACAUUCAGACAAUAGUUUUCAUUGAAGUUCCAUUUAAGAGAUUUCUUUGGCUUUCUUUUAUUACUGCAUCAUCAUGAACCAUCUUUGCCCUUCCCUUCCCUUAAUGCCCUUUUCAUAAAUCAGGGCACUGUUAAUCUGGCAUAGCCACAUACACCUCCAAAAUUCCAGAGCUUGGUUUUCAAUUAUAUUAUACAGUGUUGACAACACUUUCUUGAACUACAUUGUUUAAUCUGUAUUUCAGUAUGUGUAGCCACGCAGCCUGUGUAGACAAGCAAGAGAAGACGCCUUCUCCAUUUCGUCAACAUACCAAGAAUGAAGAAGCUAGUCUGUUUUCUUCAGAUACACAACUAGUGAUGAUUGUAG
ensembl:lncRNA